ACAGAGAGCUUGCUCUCGGGUGACGAGCGGCGGACGGGUGAGUAAUGUCUGGGAAACUGCCUGAUGGAGGGGGAUAACUACUGGAAACGGUAGCUAAUACCGCAUAACGUCGCAAGACCAAAGUGGGGGACCUUCGGGCCUCAUGCCAUCAGAUGUGCCCAGAUGGGAUUAGCUAGUAGGUGGGGUAACGGCUCACCUAGGCGACGAUCCCUAGCUGGUCUGAGAGGAUGACCAGCCACACUGGAACUGAGACACGGUCCAGACUCCUACGGGAGGCAGCAGUGGGGAAUAUUGCACAAUGGGCGCAAGCCUGAUGCAGCCAUGCCGCGUGUGUGAAGAAGGCCUUCGGGUUGUAAAGCACUUUCAGCGGGGAGGAAGGCGAUGAGGUUAAUAACCUUGUCGAUUGACGUUACCCGCAGAAGAAGCACCGGCUAACUCCGUGCCAGCAGCCGCGGUAAUACGGAGGGUGCAAGCGUUAAUCGGAAUUACUGGGCGUAAAGCGCACGCAGGCGGUCUGUCAAGUCGGAUGUGAAAUCCCCGGGCUCAACCUGGGAACUGCAUUCGAAACUGGCAGGCUAGAGUCUUGUAGAGGGGGGUAGAAUUCCAGGUGUAGCGGUGAAAUGCGUAGAGAUCUGGAGGAAUACCGGUGGCGAAGGCGGCCCCCUGGACAAAGACUGACGCUCAGGUGCGAAAGCGUGGGGAGCAAACAGGAUUAGAUACCCUGGUAGUCCACGCUGUAAACGAUGUCGAUUUGGAGGUUGUGCCCUUGAGGCGUGGCUUCCGGAGCUAACGCGUUAAAUCGACCGCCUGGGGAGUACGGCCGCAAGGUUAAAACUCAAAUGAAUUGACGGGGGCCCGCACAAGCGGUGGAGCAUGUGGUUUAAUUCGAUGCAACGCGAAGAACCUUACCUGGUCUUGACAUCCACAGAACUUUCCAGAGAUGGAUUGGUGCCUUCGGGAACUG
rnacentral:rRNA from 1 species